AGAGUUUGAUCCUGGCUCAGAUUGAACGCUGGCGGCAUGCCUUACACAUGCAAGUCGAACGGCAGCACGGGAGCAAUCCUGGUGGCGAGUGGCGAACGGGUGAGUAAUAUAUCGGAACGUGCCCAGUCGUGGGGGAUAACGUAGCGAAAGCUACGCUAAUACCGCAUACGAUCUACGGAUGAAAGCGGGGGAUCGCAAGACCUCGCGCGAUUGGAGCGGCCGAUAUCAGAUUAGCUAGUUGGUGGGGUAAAAGCCCACCAAGGCGACGAUCUGUAGCUGGUCUGAGAGGACGACCAGCCACACUGGAACUGAGACACGGUCCAGACUCCUACGGGAGGCAGCAGUGGGGAAUUUUGGACAAUGGGCGCAAGCCUGAUCCAGCAAUGCCGCGUGCAGGAUGAAGGCCUUCGGGUUGUAAACUGCUUUUGUACGGAACGAAACGGCUCUUUCUAAUAAAGGGAGCUAAUGACGGU
rnacentral:rRNA from 1 species